rnacentral:rRNA from 1 species
GUGAGGAAUAUUGGUCAAUGGGCGGGAGCCUGAACCAGCCAAGUCGCGUGAAGGAAGAAGGAUCUAUGGUUCGUAAACUUCUUUUGCAGGGGAAUAAAGUGCAGGACGUGUCCUGUUUUGUAUGUACCCUGAGAAUAAGGAUCGGCUAACUCCGUGCCAGCAGCCGCGGUAAUACGGAGGAUCCGAGCGUUAUCCGGAUUUAUUGGGUUUAAAGGGUGCGUAGGUGGUUUGAUAAGUCAGCGGUGAAAGUUUGCAGCUUAACUGUAAAAAUGCCGUUGAAACUGUCGGACUUGAGUGUAAAUGAGGUAGGCGGAAUGCGUGGUGUAGCGGUGAAAUGCAUAGAUAUCACGCAGAACUCCGAUUGCGAAGGCAGCUUACUAAGCUACAACUGACACUGAAGCACGAAAGCGUGGGGAUCAAACAGGAUUAGAAACCCCGGUAGCC